rnacentral:rRNA from 1 species
AUCCCUUCUGAUCAAGCCACCUCGAGCUUCUCGGUUCCUUUGCGCGAUUUCGACCCUUCUUGUGAAUUUUCGUCCCGCGAUCAAUCCCGAAUAUUUUUCUACGCCCUUUCUGAUGAGAUGAAUAUUUUUAAUAAACUCCAAGUGAAUCCUGACCUUGAUGUAAAAUAUUUCCCGAGCCUCCGGCUUCCUCGAAAAAUCGAUAAUACCAAAAUUAGGGUUUUCGCCCAACUUCGGGUUUUCCCGUCGUGCUUCAAUCCCGUCGUGCUUGCUUCCCGUCCUGCUUAAUUCCCGUCCUGCUUCCGACUUAUAAUGUCUUCAGAAUAAUAUUUUACUGAUACGAAGAUAUUCCGAGAAAACUUCGCGAUGAAGAAACGUCAAUCUUCAAAAACGUCGAGCUUCUAAACCGUCGUGCUUCAAAAAUUUGAUUCUUCCAAAACUGCCGUCUGAUCAAUCUAAGACAUUUCUAACAAUGGUAGAGCAGCUUAUCUCAACUCAUGCUUCACUCACGAUCCAUUCUUUGAAAUUCUCGUACUUCAAAUUUCCCGAUCGAUCUGUAUUGCCCGCGACUCAACCAAAAAGAUACUCGACCAUUCUCUCUCUCUCUUUUCUUUUUUUUUUUUUUUUUUUUUUUAACGGGUUUCUACAGUUGGGGGCAUUCGUAUUUCAUAGUCAGAGGUGAAAUUCUUGGAUUUAUGAAAGAUGAACAACUGCGAAAGCAUUUGCCAAGGAUGUUUUCAUUAAUCAAGAACGAAAGUUGGGGGCUUGAAGACGAUCAAAUACCGUCCUAGUCUCAACCAUAAACGAUGCCGACCAGGGAACAGUGUAUGUUGCUUUUAGGAUUCCGCUGGCACCUUAUGAGAAAUCAAAGUUUUUUGGGUUCGGGGAGUAUGGUCGCAAGGCUGAAACUUAAAAGAAUUGACGGAAGGGCACCCUGUGAAGUGGAGCCUGCGGCUUAAUUUGACUCAACACGGGAACCUUACCAGGUCCAGACAAAGUAAGAAUUGACAGACUGAGAGCUCUUUCUUGAUUCUAUGGGUGGUGGUGCAUGGCCGUUCUUAGUUGGUGGAGAGAUUUGUCUGGUUAAUUCCGUUAACGAACGAGACCUCAGCCUGCUAACUAGCUACGUGGAGGCAUCCCUUCACGGCCGGCGGCUUUAGAGGGACUAUGGCCGUUUAGGCCAAGGAAGUUUGAAUAAUAACAGGUAUGUGAUGCCCUUAGAUGUUCUGGGCCGCAUGCGCGCUACACUGAUGUAUUCAACGAGUUCACACCUUGGCCGACAGGCCCGUGUUAUCUUUGAAAUUUCAUCGUGAUGGGGAUAAAUCAUUGCAAUUGUUGGUCUUCAACGAGGAAUUCCUAGUAAGCGCGAGUCAUCAGCUCAUGUUGACUACGUCUCUGCCCUUUGUACACACCGCCCGUCACUCCUACCGAUUGAAUGAUCCGGUGAAGUGUUCGGAUCGUGGCGACGUGGGUGGUUCCCCAUCUGCGACGUCGCGAGAAGUCCACUAAACCUUAUCAUUUAGAGGAAGGAGAAGUCGUAACAAGGUUUCCGUAGGUGAACCUCCGGAAG